rnacentral:rRNA from 1 species
AUACGUAGGUGGCAAGCGUUGUCCGGAAUUACUGGGUGUAAAGGGCGUGUAGGCGGGGAUGCAAGUCAGAUGUGAAAUUCCGGGGCUCCACCCCGGCACUGCAUCUGAAACUGUGUCUCUUGAGUGCUGGAGAGGAAAGCGGAAUUCCUAGGGUAGCGGUGAAAUGCGUAGAUAUUAGGAGGAACACCAGUGGCGAAGGCGGCUUUCUGGACAGUAACUGACGCUGAGGCGCGAAAGCGUGGGUAGCGAACAGGAUUAGAUACCCUGGUAGUCCACGCCGUAAACGAUGGAUACUAGGUGUAGGAGGUAUCGACCCCUUCUGUGCCGGAGUUAACACAAUAAGUAUCCCACCUGGGGAGUACGGCCGCAAGGUUGAAACUCAAAGGAAUUGACGGGG